rnacentral:rRNA from 1 species
GACGUAGGGCGCGAGCGUUGUCCGGAUUUAUUGGGCGUAAAGAGCUCGUAGGCGGCUUGUUGUCGUCGACUGUGAAAACCCGCGGCUUAACUGCGGGCUUGCAGUUGAUACGGGCAGGCUAGAGUUCGGUAGGGGAGACUGGAAUUCCUGGUGUAGCGGUGAAAUGCGCAGAUAUCGGGAGGAACACCGGUGGCGAAGGCGGGUCUCUGGGCCGAUACUGGACGGCUGAGGAGCGAAAGCGUGGGGAGCGAACAGG